GUCGUGGUGGCCCAGUGGUUAGAGCACUGGCCUAGCAAGCAGAGGGUCCCGGGUUCGAAUCCCGCCCGCGGCA